AACAUGAGACAGGAAAUAUUUAGCAAUAGCACUUUAUUGAACACAAACAACCCUAAGCCACAAUACUGAAUGACAAGACCAAUUGGCUGCAGCAAACAUUUUAUAAAAUAGAUUCAGGUUUAAUGUCACUAAACUGUUUUUUUUUCUUUUAACGUCAGAAAGACAGAUGCAGGUUUUUCCAAAACAGUGAAUGAUCUUUUACAUAUUUAACAUUUCUGUAACAAAUUAUCAUUCACAUGUUCACACAAAGGAAUAACAAGGCAAAGUGCUUUCAGGAUUGCAUUGUUGAAGAAACAAAAACAGAAACAUGAAUGGCUUGAGGUUUCAGGUGAGACGGCGGGUUUGUGGAGUGGGGCUGGUCCUGUUUUCGUGUUGGCGUGUGAAGGUGGCAGCGGUAGGGAGAGGGGAGGGCCGUAACAUUUGGUGGGGAGAAAACCUCAAACCUUUCACCUUGUCCUGUACCCCUUGUAAGUCAAACCCGGUGUAAAAAGUGAGGGCAGUGUGGAGAAACGGACGCCUACGCAGCCAGAAUCUGGACAGAUGGAUUCAAAGGCAAACAGCUUGAGGGACGCAGACCGACUUUCCUCCCCUCCAACCCUCAGAAACAGAAUCCAUCUACCCAUCUUCAUCGUGACAACCUGUGAUAUCAGUACAGCUGCAUGAGCCUAAACGAAGCUGUAAUCGUUGAAUUAUCUCAUAUUAUAGGGCUGGACAGAAAAGCAUACACAGAAAAAUGAAAUAACUAAAAGGAAAAGGUAAUUAUUUACUUUAUUAAAGAUGGUUCCUCUGACCAUUCACCACUGAAUGUUAAAGGGGAGAGACUAUCAUAAUCUGCAUCACAACUUUGUCUGGCUUCACAUUCCAGUGGUAUUUUGUCGUAUAAAUGCUUCUCAUAAAUAUUUUUUUUUAAACGUCAAGUAGACAUGUACAGCACAUCCAAGCACACUUUAUGUAUAAGUAUACAAUUGCUCAUGAUAAAUCUGUAUUCCCGUACAGUGGACUGACCCAUUAAAAGCCAGAACAGGUGGAGAGACAAACAAUACUCAAUGCUGCAAAACAAGGAGGUAGGAGUAAUGCUACGAAGAAACAAAAACAAAACAGCGAGCAAUGCUAGAAUGUCGAAAUAUCUGUGAUACGCCAGGAUUACUGAACCAUGAUAGUUAGCGCCAGCAGCUGCCACCCCAGUCAAUGUUUGAGCUGGUAGAUUUUUAAUUUGAUUUUCUAAGUUUAAUUUUUAAUCUGACGACACAGGUGCAUCUCAAUUUAAAAAGAGAAACUCACUCUGAAAUCAGAUAGGCUAAACAGAGACAAAACUUCAAGAAUCUAUUCUGUUAUUUUUGACGAGGAUGGCUAAUGGAAAGUUGAGUGGAAGCAAAAAAAGUCAAGUCAGCUAGUAAAGAUUAAGUUAAGAGCCAUAAAACAUCAUUACUAACCAACAUGACUGCUUGUAUUGCACAAAAUCAGAUUCAUAGAAAGUUGAGUGGAAGAAAAACCGUUUGGAAAAGAAUAGUAAAGCAAAGUCAGUUUAAAUGUUUGAGUAGAUUCUUUAAUUGUGGACAGACCAUGUCAAAGGAGCUCCGAUCAUAUCGCUUCUGAAAAAAGACUUUUGGGAUUUUCAGUAGCAGUGAGUGACAAUCCCCAAAAAGGAAUUAAAGCCUUAAAUAAACAGAAAUAAUUUAACUUUGUGUCGGUUUUCUGGUGAAUCGAGAUGCAUCUGUUCGUGUUGACUGGACUAGCAGCUGCUGUGGCUCUUAACUGAAGUAAAUCGUCGACGGAUGUUUUUUUUGGCCCGCCAAAAUAAAAGUUCAAUCAUGUUUCCAACCGCUUGUUUCUAUUCCGGUUGUUGAUCUGAAAGUGGCUGAUGUGAGCAGAGUAAAUUCAUUGGUCCUGUUGUCAUCACAGGUCUGGAGACCGCGCUGCUGGUGAUGGCAUCAACUCCUUCACACACAGUAGAAUAGUAUAUUUGCAGACUUGUAAAUGAGGUAAUCAGCGUUAUGCUAAAUAGGGAACCCUGUCAUUGACACACUUUAUCCACCAGCAAAGCAAAAUGACAAAAAAAAAAAAAAAAGACAGGACCAUGGAAGAAAAAAAAAUCAAAUUUGGAAUGUCAGGUGGACAAGCCAACUUUUUUCCUCCUCCUAUGCUUGUGAAGGUGCAUCGUGGUAAUAAUUUGAUUGUAAUUCAUCACAUGCCCUGAUUCAGAGUCCUUCCACGUACAAGGGCUCCGUUUUUAUUUCCCAGAUAAGCCACUCGCAUUAAAACAAGGCGGCUUACUUUUCAAUUGUUAUUAUUUUUCUUUAAAUCUGUAAUAAAUUAAGGCUGCCUCAGCAGCAGAUCAACACCUGCCUAAAGUCCAGUUGAUGGAGUAUUGUUAAAAGCUCAUGAGUUGCAGUAAGGUGGUAAAAUCUUCAGUGAAGCAGACUAAACCAAAGAGAAAAAAAAAAA